GACGAACGCUGGCGGCGUGCUUAACACAUGCAAGUCGAACGGAAAGACCCUGCUUUUGUGCGGUGCUCGAGUGGCGAACGGGGGAGUAACACGUGAGUAACCUGUCCUUCACUGUGGGGUAACUUCAUGAAACUGAGGCUAAUACCGCAUAGGAGCUCCUGCUGCAUGGUGGGGGUGGGAAAGUUUCGGCGGUUGGGGAUGGACUAGCGGCUUAUCAGCUUGUUGGUGGGGUAGUGGCUUACCAAGGCUUUGACGGGUAGCAGGCCUGAGAGGGUGACCGGACCCAUUGGGCCUGAGAUGCGGCCCAGACUCCUACGGGAGGCAGCAGUGGAGAAUAUUGCACAAUGGGCGGAAGCCUGAUGUAGCAACGCCGCGCGCGGGAUGACGGCCUUCGGGUUGUAAACCGCAUUCGCCUGUGCCGAAGCGUGAGUGACGGUAAUGGGUAAAGAAGCACCGGCUAACUACGUG
rnacentral:rRNA from 1 species